rnacentral:lncRNA from 1 species
GCAGCUCUCAUCAUCUUACAACACAAGAUAAAUCCCUAGAGACAAUUCACAUCAAAGAAAUAACAAAGUAAUGAAGGAUAUUAUCUAAAGUGGAAGGGAAGAGAACAUUAAUUUCAGUGUGGGCAGCAAAAGAUCAGCCCCCAACUAAAAAAGGCACCAGCAAUCAAUCAGAGAAGCCAGAGAGAGAGGCUGAGCCCCAUCCUUCAGAGCAGCUAGAGAGAGAGGAUGACAGAGAGACAGUACAACAGACCCAGACAGAGACGGCAACAAGAAAAGUGUUGGUGAUGAUCUCGCACAGCUCAUGCUGUUUCCUCUCUCUACUGAGUUUACCUUGAUCUAUCUGCUCUGCUCAACCAGAGGUCUGGCAGGGAGAUCAAAGUUCACAAGCCCAUGAUUAAACUUAAUUUAUG